UGAGACUAAGCCCCAGUAGUUGUAAAUUCUUAAAAAAUGCCCUGCCCCUGAGUAGUAUACUUCUUUCGCGUGAUUAUAAGUAUAGCUGCGUGUGUCUAAUACUGAAUACUGAUUACUGGUUUUGAAGUAGUGUGAAUAUGAAUAUUGAUGGUAGGAAUAUAAUAGUAAUGGCUUUAUAGUAAUUUAUCCACAGGGUGGCUCUUCGCCUACUAAUUACAAAAUAUGUGUAUGAAG